UUGACACAAUCGGUAGCUAUAAAUGCUUUGUCUAUAUAUUCAGAUGCCAAUCGAAAUGAUUGAGUAUAAUUUGGUGAGUCAAGAUUCGCGUGAAUGCGAUUCAAGUAAAAAUAUCUGCAAGAGAAAAAGUUAUCAUGUUCGGAACGUUAAAAAUAUUAUGUAUUUUAUUAAAAGUGUUAAUGCUAACGAGUACGGCCCUCGCGGUAUCUUUAGAGAAUGAAGAUAUUUAUACAGUACCGUAGAAUAUACCAUCUUUCAAGUUCUACACAAUUAAUAAUUACCUGUUACGAGUCCAGAAGUUAUAUAUGCAGGAAUAUUUUAACAACGUGACUGAAAAAAAUGUAGUUGCAACCAGUAAGAUCAAGAGACGCAUGCUACGUCAGUUUCAAGGGAGAAAUCAUUUUCGUUGAAAUUGGUUAGUUGUGCACAAAACACAAAUUUUUCUUCGUACAAUAUGUCAAGAAAUGAAAUAAAUCUCAAUUCUUUCUUGUCAAUUGGACACUCUAACAUUUACGACCUGGGUCUUAUUAUUCCGUUAAAAUUCUAAUUUGCUCUUUUGAAAGCCUUACUAAAGUCUUUGAAAUAUUUGUUUUCGUUAAAAAUCAUUGAAUGAUCAUUGACAAUUACUGUCUCUUCUAUUAUAAAAUAUUCAUUUUUUGUCAGGACUACUAUAAUUAUGUUAUUGCUUUUAAGUCUCAAAAACGUACAUAGAUUAUGAUGUUAUUAUUAUUAUUUGGUUAUUUUAAAAGUCAA